UGCCAGCAGCCGCGGUAAGACAGAGGGUGCAAACGUUGCUCGGAAUUACUGGGCGUAAAGCGCGUGUAGGCGGCCAAUUAAGUCUGAUGUGAAAUCCCGGGGCUCAACCCCGGAAGUGCAUUGGAUACUGGUUGGCUAGAGAACGAGAGGGGGAAGCGGAAUUCCUGGUGUAGGGGUGAAAUCCGUAGAUAUCAGGAGGAACACCGGAGGCGAAGGCGGCUUCCUGGCUCGUUACUGACGCUGAGACGCGAAAGCGUGGGGAGCAAACAGGAUUAGAUA
rnacentral:rRNA from 1 species